rnacentral:lncRNA from 10 species
CAAAAUGGUAAAUUAAAGGCACCAUCUUUGGGACUCCCUGGGGAAAAACGUAAAGAAGGCAGUUGAAGAAAGGACUAAAUCAUUUUGCUACUUUAAAAAAAUCACGAAAGUACAUUAUUUGAAGUUUGGAGAAGAAAGGGAUUUGGUAACAAAGGACAGCCAUUUCCAUUUUAAGCAGCUAAACAGCAGGAGAGAUUUCUGUAAGAAGGUACCAGCUCAGAUUCCAUUGUUCAUCAUUUUGCAAUGCAGCAAGUCUUGGAAAACCUUACGGAGCUGCCCUCGUCUACUGGAGCAGAAGAAAUAGACCUAAUUUUCCUCAAGGGAAUUAUGGAGAAUCCUAUUGUAAAAUCACUUGCUAAGGGCCUGUGAAAAAGAUCCUGAUCCUAUUUCCAUUUUCAACAAUGGCAAAGUACUGAUUUUCUUCUUUUGCAUUAGACUGUGUACCUACUUUUCAUGCUCAUGAGAGGCUAGAAGAUUCCAAACUAGAAGCUGUCAGUGACAAUAACUUGGAAUUAGUCAAUGAAAUUCUUGAAGACAUCACUCCUCUAAUAA